AAAGACAAAGUAUUAAAAACAGCAAAGAAAAAAAUAGCACAUGACUUAUAGGGAGCAAUGUUUCAGCUGACUGUAAAUCUGUCAUAAGAAACCAUGAAGGCAGAACAAAGCGGUGUGACAUUUUAAAAGUCACUAUAAAUUUCUCAUGAAAAACUAUGAAGCCAGAAAGAAGUCACGUGACAUUUUUUAAAUGCUGAAAGCAAAGGAAUAUUAACCCACAACUCUAUAUUCAGGAAAAUCUGCAUGACAAAUGAAGGAGAAGUAAAGGUAUUCUCAGAAGAAGGAAAGCUGAGAGAAUUCUUAACCAGCAGACCUCCUCAAGAAGAACUUCUAAACAUUUCUUCUAAUCAGACAGAAGGGCUCUAACCCGAGCUUCAAGCCCCAUUUGUAUGCAGCUGUCCGUGGGUGUCAGUAGUUGUUUGACUUAGCAGUGCCGAGAGCCCCGGGUUGGGAGUGGAGAGAAAAAAGGGA
rnacentral:lncRNA from 1 species